rnacentral:lncRNA from 1 species
AAAAAAUAAUAAUAAUAAUAAUAAAAUAAUAAUAAAUAAAAAAAAAAGGCAGCAUUACUGUUUUUCCACAUGAAUCAGUUUCUUGGCCACAGUAAGUGUCCUGCAAUGUAUUAUCAGUUUUAUCAAAAGGAGACCUUAAACCUUUCAUUUAAAACCUGAAUGUUUAGUAUCAAGCCAACAAACUUAUAAUGCCAAAACCCAAGCAAGUCUGGGUUGGACUGACCUGAAGCAAAAUUCUGAGCUUCACAUUUCCCAGAGGGAAUGUUUUGUGUUUAUUAUUAUUUUUAUUAACUUAUUUUAGUAACAUUGAAAUUUAUUUAUGAAAAAAUGAACAGUACACUGACAAAAAUGGCUCAUGUGGUCUCAUGUACACCAUGUGUGAAGUGCCCAGGCACUAGAUUUAGACUACUAGACUGGUUAUUUCCCUCUGGACAUUACGUAUAUUCAGUGAAAUAGUGCCAGGGUCAAACUGCUAGACUGCCAACAUCUGCCCAUAUCAAGACAAAACAUCCCAGGAUACUUUCAUAUUUUGAAAGAGGUAAUCUGUUUUUCCUUCCCAGCUUUGAUCCAAAUCUUUCUUUUAUUUAUAAAGCUUGAAUAAAUGGGUAAUAGUUUUACA